rnacentral:rRNA from 1 species
CAGAGGUUACUGCUAUCGAGAUUCGACUAASCCAUGCGAGUUGAAUGUUCUUCGUGAACAUGGCGGACUGCUCAGUAACACGUGGACAACCUACCCUUGGGUCCGGCAUAAUCCUGGGAAACUGGGAAUAAUUCCGGAUAGGUCACCGAUGCUGGAAUGCGCGGUGGCCGAAAGCUCCGGCGCCCGAGGAUGGGUCUGCGGCCUAUCAGGGUUGUAGUGGGUGUAACGUACCUACUAGCCUACGACGGGUACGGGUUGUGAGAGCAAGAGCCCGGAGAUGGAUUCUGAGACACGAAUCCAGGCCCUACGGGGUGCAGCAGGCGCGAAAACUUUACAAUGCGGGAAACCGUGAUAAGGGGAUCUCGAGUGCCAGCAUAUAAUGUUGGCUGUCCAGAUGCCUAAAAAGCAUCUGUUAGCAAGGGCCGGGCAAGACCGGUGCCAGCCGCCGCGGUAACACCGGCGGCCCGAGUGGUAACCGCUAUUAUUGGGUCUAAAGGGUCUGUAGCCGGCCAGGUAAGUCCCUUGGGAAAUCUGGCAGCUCAACUGUCAGGCUGCUAGGGGAUACUGUUUGGCUUGGGACCGGGAGAGGUGAGAGGUACCUUGGGGGUAGGGGUGAAAUCUUGUGAUCCUCGAGGGACCACCAGUGGCGAAGGCGUCUCACCAGAACGGGUCCGACGGUAAGGGACGAAAGCUAGGGGCACGAACCGGAUUAGAUACCCGGGUAGUCCUAGCCGUAAACGAUGCUCGCUAGGUGUCAGUCACGGUGCGACCGUGAUUGGUGCCGUAGGGAAGCCGUGAAGCGAGCCACCUGGGAAGUAUGGCCGCAAGGCUGAAACUUAAAGGAAUUGGCGRGGRMGCACUACAACGGGUGGAGCCUGCGGUUAAUG